AGUGAACGCUGGCGGUAGGCCUAACACAUGCAAGUCGAACGGCAGCACAGUAAGAGCUUGCUCUUACGGGUGGCGAGUGGCGGACGGGUGAGGAAUACAUCGGAAUCUACUUUUUCGUGGGGGAUAACGUAGGGAAACUUACGCUAAUACCGCAUACGACCUACGGGUGAAAGCAUGGGAUCUUCGGACCCUGCGCGAUUGAAUGAGCCGAUGUCGGAUUAGCUAGUUGGCGGGGUAAAGGCCCACCAAGGCGACGAUCCGUAGCUGGUCUGAGAGGAUGAUCAGCCACACUGGAACUGAGACACGGACCAGACUCCUACGGGAGGCAGCAGUGGGGAAUAUUGGACAAUGGGCGCAAGCCUGAUCCAGCCAUACCGCGUGGGUGAAGAAGGACUUCGGGUUGUAAAGCCCUUUUGUUGGGAAAGAAAAGCAGCAGGUUAAUACCCCGCUGUUCUGACGGUACCCAAAGAAUAAGCACCGGCUAACUUCGUG
rnacentral:rRNA from 1 species